rnacentral:tRNA from 1 species
GCGAGAGUGGUGGAAUGGUAGACACGCUAGAUUUAGGAUCUAGUGCCUUAGGGCGUGCGGGUUCAAAUCCCGCCUCUCGCA